rnacentral:rRNA from 1 species
GACGAACCGUGCGAACGUUAUUCGGAAUCACUGGGCUUAAAGGGCGCGUAGGCGGCCGCUCAAGUCCGGGGUGAAAGCCCCCAGCUCAACUGGGGAAGUGCCUCGGAUACUGGGUGGCUCGAGGGAGGUAGGGGCGUGUGGAACUUCCGGUGGAGCGGUGAAAUGCGUAGAGAUCGGAAGGAACGCCGGUGGCGAAAGCGACACGCUGGACCUCUUCUGACGCUGAGGCGCGAAAGCCAGGGGAGCAAACGGG